rnacentral:lncRNA from 1 species
GGCAGCCCCGAGCCGCCGCGGCACGGCGAGUCGCCGCUGUCUUCGCAGUACCGGAGCGCCUUCGAGCUGGAGUGCUUGGACAUCGCCGUCCGCCUGGAGCUCGGCCUCCCCGCCCACUCACCGGCCUCCUCUGAGGCCAGCAGCCCCUUCCCCGCCGGCGGCGAGCUCCUCACCUCCACCCCGCUCCGCCUCUCGCCGCCCCCUGCCCGGGAGAUCCUGGCCGGCCCCGGUCCGGAUGGCUGCCAUCCCACCGCCGCCCCGGGCCCGUCCUUCGAGGAAUCCGCCUGUUCCGCCGCGGCGCCGCCCCCCGACGGCCCGCCGGUCCGGCCCCGCAAGGCGGCUCAGCGCGGUACCGGGCAGCAGCCCCGCGGCGGGCCGGGCUCCGCCGGCCGCUCCCGGGGACGCGUCAAGGUCUCCCUCCUCCAGGCACGGGUCCCCGGGAGGAGCCCGGGGCUCCCCAAGGCCCGUAGGGCGGUGGGUACCCCGGGGCCGAGGUCCCGGUACCCAGGUGAGGCGGGGGGCUGCGGGGGAGCCCCAGCGCGGCCGCCGCUGCCCCGGGGGCGCAAACCCCUCUCUCCUCCUCAGGGAGCAGGCUCCAGCGUCCCAGCGGGGCCUUCCAGCUGCCACAAGCCCCCGCCAUGCCGAAAGCUGCCCCCCGGGACGCGGGGAGUGGAGAAGGACUUCAGCCUGCAUGGGAGCUGGGAUGCAGCAGCACCUGGGAGCUCCCAGAAACCGGUGAGAGAAGGAAAUGCCCGGUUGCAGCAGGAGCUGUCCCUGGAGCAGGUGAGCAGUGUGGAGGUGUGGAAUGCACAGGGGUGGGGGCUGGUGCUUGCACCCCUGGAGAGAGGAGCCUCUCUGGAGCUUUCCUGGCUCCUGACUGCCAAAGACCUGCUGAAAACCAAGCGUCCUGGGAGCAUACACGGUGAGGAGAGUCUACGUUUCUGCUUUGGGCUCUGGUGGAUCUCGCACGGGGAAACUGCUUGUCGGGCAGUGCUGCUCCCCAGCAGGGUUCUUGCUGAACGUGCUCGCCGUG